CAUUAAUGAAUAUAAUUCGGUCGACAGGAAGGAGGGAGCUGUCGCUGGCCUGCGUGGCAUGUGCAUGCUCUCUUUGGAUCGUCGAUUGUCUUUCAUAUCUUCACCAGUGCACCUAAUGUAGGAUGCCUCUCCUCCGGGAGGGGGGACCUAUGUCUUUUUUAGACACCUGCAGUUUAGAAAGUCUCUGAAUGUUUACUAUCGUCGAGCCCACCGACGUGGGUCGGCGAGAUAAAAGUUAAUACAACUUUCAGCAAUGGAUCUCUUGGCUCUCGCAUCGAUGAAGAACGCAGCGAAUUGCGAUAUGUAAUGUGA
rnacentral:misc_RNA from 1 species